rnacentral:rRNA from 1 species
UACGGGGGGAGCAAGCGUUGUCCGGAUUUAUUGGGCGUAAAGAGCUCGUAGGCGGCUUGUCGCGUCGACUGUGAAAACUCACGGCUCAACCGUGGAACUGCAGUCGAUACGGGCAGGCUAGAGUUCGGUAGGGGAGACUGGAAUUCCUGGUGUAGCGGUGAAAUGCGCAGAUAUCAGGAGGAACACCGGUGGCGAAGGCGGGUCUCUGGGCCGAAACUGACGCUGAGGAGCGAAAGCGUGGGGAGCGAACAGG